UACGUAGGUGACAAGCGUUGUCCGGAUUUACUGGGCGUAAAGAGCGCGCAGGCGGUCGAUCAAGUCGAGUGUGAAAGCCCCCGGCUCAACUGGGGAGGGUCAUUCGAUACUGAUCGACUCGAAGGCAGGAGAGGGUAGUGGAAUUCCCGGUGUAGUGGUGAAAUGCGCAGAUAUCAGGAAGAACACCAAUGGCGAAGGCAGCUCUCUGGGACGGUACUGACGCUGAGACGCGAAAGCGUGGGGAGCGAACAGG
rnacentral:rRNA from 1 species